AAGCUAAUCAGUCCAUACACCAGGUUUUUAGACAUCUUAGUUAUUAUAAACCGGCUAUUAAAAAAAAAUAGAGUUAUAUCGAAGACUAGUAAUCUAUGGUUAUAUAUAAUACAAAAUAUAUUUAUGAAGAAAGUAUAAUAACAGAAAACUGAAAAAUUUGACCAUUUUCUGCAUUUUUCUUCAAUAAAGAUUGAAAAAUUUUUUUGAUUAUUGAAAUGUUUUCAAAUGGAGCAGUAUGCACCACUCAACGGGAAUCGAAAGAGAUACAUUAUUCUUCAGAAUGUACAGAUAAUAUCGCCACAAAUGACGAGUUGGCAGUUUCGAGAACAACUGGCGAAAAUUGCAAGACCCCAUAUCCAGACGAUGAGAAUGAUGAAAAUCUAGAUGUAAAGAUUGAAAUUUCAGAAAUUUCUGUGGGAUGGGAUGAAAAUAGUUUGAAUGAGAAUAAAGAAUUUAAGGUGAAAAUUGAAAAAGAUAACAAGUAUGUUGCGAGUGAGGAAGAGAUUCUUAGUUCCAACUUAAAGAAUGAAAAAAGUUAUCGAUAUAAAGUGAGUGAUUCUAGUAACAACUUAGACCAGAUUCAUUCUUCUGAGGAAGGAAGGAAAGGUGAUUCUGAAAUACCUCUGUAUGGUCACAGAAAAAUAGAUCAACGUAAUGUAUUGAAGAAACAUAAAUGUACAUUCUGUGAUUAUGCUGCAAAAUCAAAAUGGCACCUCCAAAAUCAUAUAAAUUCCAUUCAUUUAGAUAUAAAGCAGCACAAAUGUGACUUAUGUGAUUAUGCUACUACUCGAAUAUAUACUCUCAAGCAUCACGUAAAUUCUGUUCAUUUAAAGAUAAAGAAACAUAUAUGUGUUCUCUGCGAUUAUGCUGCAAGUUCAAAAGGGACCCUCAAUUCUCAUCUAGAUGCUGUUCAUUUAAAUGUGAAGCAGCACAAUUGUGACAUAUGUGAUUAUGCUGCUACUCAAAAAAGUACUCUCAAGCAUCACGUCAAUUCUGUUCAUUUAAAGAUAAAGAAACAUAAAUGUGUUCUCUGUGAUUAUGCUGCAAGUUCAAAAGGGACCCUCAAUAUUCAUCUAAAUUCUGUUCAUUUAAAGGAGAAUCAGCACAAUUGUGACUUAUGUGAUUAUGCUACGACUCUAAAAAUUUCUCUGAAAGAGCAUGUGAAUUCUGUUCAUAUGAAUAUGAAGAAAUAUAAAUGUGGCUUCUGUGAUUAUGCUUCAAGUCAAAAAGGGAAUCUCAAAAAUCAUAUAAAUUCCGUUCAUUUAAAGGUGAAACACCAAUGUGACUUAUGUGAUUAUGCUACAACUCAAAAAGAUUCUCUCAAAGAUCACGUUAAUUCUGUUCACUUAAACAUAAGGAAAUAUAAAUGUGCUCUAUGCGAUUAUGCUGCAAUUCGAAAACGUCACCUCGAAGGUCACGUAAACUCCAUUCAUUUGAACAUAAAGAAACAUAAAUGUGACUUCUGUGAUUAUGCUGCAUCUCAUAAAGGAAAUCUCAAAUAUCAUAUAAAUUCUGUUCAUUUGAAUGUGAAGCACCAAUGUGACUUAUGUGAUUAUGCUGCGACUCGAAAAGAAUCUCUCAGAGACCAUGUGAAUUCUAUUCAUUUAAACAUUAAGAAACAUAAAUGUGACUUCUGUGAUUAUGCUGCAUCUCAUAAAGGAAAUCUCAAAUAUCAUAUAAAUUCUGUUCAUUUGAAUGUGAAGCACCAAUGUGAGUUAUGUGAUUAUGCUGCGACUCAAAAAGAAUCUCUCAGAGACCAUGUGAAUUCUAUUCAUUUGAACAUAAAGGAACAUAAAUGUGACUUAUGCGAUUAUGCUACAGUUCAUAAAGGUACUCUCAAGCGACACGUAAAUUCAGUUCAUUUAAAAUUGAAGAAGCAUAAAUGUGCAUUAUGCGAUUAUGCUACAAGUUCAAAAUCUAAUCUCAAAAUUCAUUUUAAUUCUGUUCAUUAUCAUCACUUAAGUAAGUGAUUAUACAUCACGUAAAUUCUGUUCAUUUAAAGAUAAAGAAACAUAAAUGUGCUCUCUGCGAUUAUGCUUCAACUUCAAAAUGGGACCUCAAAACUCAUCUAAAUUUAUUUCAUUUAAAUGUAAAGCAUUAAGAUGUGAUUAUGCUGUGAUUAAACAAAAUGUUCUCCCAAAGAUCACAUAAAUUCUGAUCAUUUUAACAUUGAGCCACUCUUUCCACCAAACAAUCAUGUAGGAUAUUGAUACACACUACUCUGAAAUAUAACCGAAAUAAUAACAAAUGUUAUCAACAAACGAAUAACACUAGCUGAUGAAAUACAAGGAUAAUGCACUGAUACAACAUUUGUUGCGAGGCCUGUUUUUUUUUUUUUAAUCAAUUUGCAAUCUACUUAAUUCGGUAAUAAGUAAAUAUCUUGAUUUGAGACAGUUACCAUCUGGUGACGGAUGACUGACCUCUAUCUACAAAGAUCUUCUGAGUCUUCUUAUUUGAUUGAAAAGAUUGAAAAGUUCAUUGAUGAGUGAAUUUUCAUGAUCAUUGGUGCGGGUCUCGUAUUUUGUGGAAAGUUGUCUUAUUAUCUCACGAACAUAUGGGAUCUUGAAAUCAUUAUGGAGUGGUUGGUUGGACACAUACCAUGGAGCAAUUGCUAUCAUUCUCAAGGUCUUAGAUUGAAACAUUUGGAGGAUUAUCGUAUUUGAUGCCUUGCUACAUCCCCAGAGCUCUAUUCCAUAAAUGUGUUCAGUUGAGUUCUUGUGGCCUUGAUAUUGACAACAUCAUCAAAACAAUAAAGGAUAUUUAUUGUAACAACCACAUACAGGCAAAGAUGGAUACAAGUAUCCAAAACACUAGGAAGAUACAUAAGAGAAGGAAACUCAUUGAGUCCUCCGCUAUUCAAAAUGAUCAUGGAUGAAAUCAUAAAAAUAGUCUGUAGUUUAGUGUUUUACUGCAGAUUUCGACAUUUUCCAAAAUAACAAUAGUUAUUUUGAGUUUCAACAGAUUCAUUUUCCUUAGUAAAGUAAUGUAAAACAACAUUGAAUUCUAACCUCAAACAGAGGGCUUUAGUUAUAGUAGAAAUAAAAUUAAUAAAAGUAAUCUUUACAAUGAAAUGCUUUUAAACAAUAACAUUACCUUAACCAAACGAUAUGAAAGUA